rnacentral:rRNA from 1 species
AACGAACGCUGGCGGCAUGCCUAACACAUGCAAGUCGAACGAGACCUUCGGGUCUAGUGGCGCACGGGUGCGUAACGCGUGGGAACCUGCCCUUAGGUUCGGAAUAACUCCCCGAAAGGGGUGCUAAUACCGGAUAAUGUCUUCGGACCAAAGAUUUAUCGCCUUUGGAUGGGCCCGCGUUGGAUUAGCUAGUUGGUAGGGUACAAGCCUACCAAGGCGACUAUCCAUAGCUGGUCUGAGAGGAUGCUCAGCCACACUGGGACUGAGACACGGCCCAGACUCCUACGGGAGGCAGCAGUGGGGAAUAUUGGACGAUGGGCGAAAGCCUGAUCCAGCAAUGCCGCGUGAGUGAUGAAGGCCUUAGGGUUGUAAAGCUCUUUUACCCGGGAUGAUAAUGACAGUACCGGGAGAAUAAGCUCCGGCUAACUACGUG